AGUGAUCGCUGGCGGCGUGCUUAACACAUGCAAGUCGAGCGAAUUUCAGCAGCGUAUCGCUGGAGUUAGCGGCAGACGGGUGAGUAAUACUUGGGCAAUCUGCCCUUGAGUGGGAAACAACCGGCCGAAAGGCUGGCUAAUGUCCCAUAAGACCACAGGAUGGCGUCAUCCAGGGGUCAAAGCUCCGCAAGGGGCGCUUGAGGAGGAGCCUGAGGCCUAUCAUGGUAGUUGGUGAGGUAACGGCUCACCAAGCCUUUGACGGGUAGCCGGCCUGAAAGGGUGAUCGGCCACACUGGCACUGAGACACGGGCCAGACUCCUACGGGAGGCAGCAGUGGGGAAUUUUGGACAAUGGCGCAAGCCUGAUCCAGCGAUGCCGCGUGUGUGAAGAAGGCCUGCGGGUUGUAAAGCACUUUCAGUAGGGAA
rnacentral:rRNA from 1 species